rnacentral:rRNA from 1 species
AACGUAGGAGGCGAGCGUUAUCCGGAUUUACUGGGCGUAAGCGUACGCAGGCGGCUUCGUAAGUUGGGCGUGAAAGCUCCUGGCUUAACUGGGAGAGGCCGUUCGAUACUGCGGGGCUUGAGGUUGGGAGAGGGGUGUGGAAUUCCCGGUGUAGUGGUGGAACGCGUAGAUAUCGGGAGGAACACCAGUGGCGAAGGCGGCACCCUGGCCCACACCUGACGCUGAGGUGCGAAAGCGUGGGGAGCAAACA